GUAUAGAAGUCUCGGGUACAUCCAAUAAAAUUGAAACAAUGCAGAGAAGAUUAGCAUGUUUUCUGCGCAAAAAUGACACGUACAAAUAGAAAAAAUAGAAGUCCCG
rnacentral:snRNA from 2 species